rnacentral:rRNA from 1 species
GACGAACCGUGCAAACGUUGUUCGGAAUCACUGGGCGUAAAGGGCGCGUAGGCGGCUUUGUAAGUCACUUGUGAAAUCUCCGGGCUUAACUCGGAACGGCCAAGUGAUACUGCAAUGCUAGAGUGCAGAAGGGGCAAUCGGAAGUUCUUGGUGUAGCGGUGAAAUGCGUAGAUAUCAAGAGGAACACCUGAGGUGAAGACGGGUGCUGGGCUGACACUGACGCUGAUGCGCGAAAGCCAGGGGAGCAAACGGG